rnacentral:rRNA from 1 species
UGGGGAAUUUUGGACAAUGGGGGCAACCCUGAUCCAGCAAUGCCGCGUGUGUGAAGAAGGCCUUCGGGUUGUAAAGCACUUUUGUCCGGAAAGAAAACGCCGUGGUUAAUACCCGUGGCGGAUGACGGUACCGGAAGAAUAAGCACCGGCUAACUACGUGCCAGCAGCCGCGGUAAUACGUAGGGUGCAAGCGUUAAUCGGAAUUACUGGGCGUAAAGCGUGCGCAGGCGGUCCGCUAAGACAGAUGUGAAAUCCCCGGGCUUAACCUGGGAACUGCAUUUGUGACUGGCGGGCUAGAGUAUGGCAGAGGGGGGUAGAAUUCCACGUGUAGCAGUGAAAUGCGUAGAGAUGUGGAGGAAUACCGAUGGCGAAGGCAGCCCCCUGGGCCAAUACUGACGCUCAUGCACGAAAGCGUGGGGAGCAAACAGGAUUAGAUACCCUGGUAGUCCACGCCCUAAACGAU